GACGAACGCUGGAGGCGUGCUUAACACAUGCAAGUCGAACGAUGAAAUGGAGCUUGCUCCAUGGAUUAGUGGCGAACGGGUGAGUAACACGUGAAUAACCUGCCCUUAAUUUUGGAAUAACCCAGGGAAACCUGGGCUAAUACCGGAUAAGUAAACCUGUGGCAUCACAUGGUUUUGGAAAGUUUUUCGAUUAAGGAUGGAUUCGCGGCCUAUUAGCUUGUUGGUGAGGUAAUGGCUCACCAAGGCGACGACGGGUAGCCGGCCUGAGAGGGUGAACGGCCACACUGGGACUGAGACACGGCCCAGACUCCUACGGGAGGCAGCAGUGGGGAAUAUUGCGCAAUGGACGAAAGUCUGACGCAGCGACGCCUCGUGAGGGGCGAAGGUCUUCGGAUUGUAAACCUCUUUCAGCAGGGACGAAGCGAAAGUGACGGUACCUGCAGAAGAAGCACCGGCUAACUAUGUGCCAGCAGCCGCCGCAG
rnacentral:rRNA from 1 species